GAUGAACGCUAGCGGGAGGCUUAACACAUGCAAGUCGAGGGGCAGCAUAGGGUAGCAAUACUCUGAUGGCGACCGGCAAACGGGUGAGUAACGCGUAUGCAACCUACCCUGUACAGGGGGAUAACCCGGAGAAAUUCGGACUAAUAUCCCGUAAUAAUAUCCGGAGGCAUCUUUGGAUAUUUAAAGUUUCGACGGUACGGGAUGGGCAUGCGUAACAUUAGCUGGUUGGUAAGGUAACGGCUUACCAAGGCUAUGAUGUUUAGGGGUCCUGAGAGGGUGGUCCCCCACACUGGUACUGAGACACGGACCAGACUCCUACGGGAGGCAGCAGUGAGGAAUAUUGGUCAAUGGGCGCAAGCCUGAACCAGCCAUCCCGCGUGCAGGAAGACGGCCCUAUGGGUUGUAAACUGCUUUUCCAGGGAGAGAAACUUACGCACGUGUUGCGUGACUGACGGUACCCUGGGAAUAAGCAUCGGCUAACUCCGUGCCAGCAGCCGCGGUAAAACGUAG
rnacentral:rRNA from 1 species